rnacentral:lncRNA from 1 species
GUAGAAUCUCAGAGAAGCAAUAUUGAAAACGAAAGAAAAUGAAGAUGCAGUCUUUCAAGCUGUCACAGACAUCUGUUAUGCCCUCUUACUCUAUGAAAGGCAGCAGAAGUGACUCAUGUUUCUAGAUGCCAAAUGGAAGAAUAUUUCUGAUAUAACCUCUGGCUUCAAUCAUCCUUCCUUCUGAGAAAUCUCAUCUCCUUCAGUACCAUCUUUUUGGGCUUUCCAGUAGCCCGUGAAAGCAAUUAGGAAGUCUGUGUCAGGUUCUCCUGGUAGCCAAGAUGUGACCCAGCUGCAGUGGUAGGCCGGCAAAUGUUUAACAAUAGUUCAACAGUGGACCAAAAACCCAAAGCCCCAAUUUUAGCAUUUGCUGAUUUCGGUAGUGUAAGUGAUUCCACUGUGGCUGAUUUCAAGCUACCAGUGGUUUGCCAACUGGCUUGCAAAAUUUCUGAAAAUGUACUAAUUGGCCCUCAGGAGCUGUUAUAAGCUGGACCCAACACGCCACACCUCUCCUGGACCCCUGUGGUUUAGAGCCCAGUCUCUGCAAAUCCUGCCCAUGGCAUCCACCGCAGGAACCAACCCAGCCCUGAAGGGACCACAGGAAAUCAGUGCUGGUCCAGACCCCUGAGGUGUCUGGAGCAGGCUGGCAGCUGUGAUCUGGGGAGAAGGUGGCAUCGGGAGACAGCUUUUGAAGAGGGAGUGUUGAGAUGUCAGAGCAGCCAGGGAGGGUGGUCAGCCAGGUUUUCUGCCUCUCCAUCCCCCAGGUCUAGACCCGCCUUCCCCCAGAUGUGGUCCGGGGCCACUCUCAAGCCUGUAACUGGUCUCCCUGUGGCUGCUCUUGCCUGUUCCCGUCAGUUCUCACCCAGCCCCCGAGGGAGCCGAGCACCUAAAUCUGCCCACGUGCUGCCCUCAGAGCAUUCCCACUGCACCUGGAUGCAGUCCUGCCUGAUGUCCCCUCCCAUCUGCCACCUUCAGCUCAUAGCCUGGCCCCAUAGUCUCUUGUGGUCUCGUGCCUUUUCUGGCCCUUAAACAUGCUAUUCCUUCCCAUCUUCGAGACUUUUUUCAUGACGUUUCCUCUGGAAUGUUCCUCCUGUGGCUGUCUCUCUCCUUCACAUUCAAUUUAAAUGUUGUUC